AUGGCCCCCCAGCAGCUGCUUCCAGCAUUCUGCCCCAGGGACAGCCGGGGGCUUCCUGGGCCCACUCCUCCCCAGGUAAUGAGAAGCACAAGAACCAAGGCAGGGGGGCUGCCAACCCUACCGCCUGGGUCUCUCCACCAUCCACGGAGAAUUUCAAGGAGGACAAAGAUGGGCCAAGGAGGGAAACUGAGUCAGGCCCGAGUCUGGGGACUGGGCCCAGAGCAGACGGGUCAGGCAGCCCUUCAGAACUGCUCCACACCUUCCCCAGGGAGAGGUGGAGACCGGAUGUGCAGGUACACACACAGAGUCUCACACACACACACACACACACACACACUCGCACACCUAUACAAUCACAUACACGCACAGGUGCACACAGACACACAUGCCCUGCCCCCUCCCAGCCCCUCUGCACGUUCCAGCUGGGGAAGCUCCCAGCCCCUUCUCACACAUCUGUGGGGCCCCCAGCCUGGCUCUGGAAACAGUUUCUAUGUAUUUUAGGGGGUGAACACAGAAGCUGGAAGCAGAGGGAGGGAUACCUACAUACACACACAUACACACACACAGCCCAGGACCCACUCCAGAGAACCAGGCAUGAAUAAGGGAGACAGAUGGGAAGGGGGAGGGAACUCAUCUAAUUGACACCUACUAUGUGCCAGACACAAUGCUCCACACUUGACAUUCUCUUAUGUAACCACACUGGAAAAGUUAGGAACCCGGCAUCAUUAUCCCUACUCUAUAUUGAGGAAGCAGGGCUUCUGGAAGAAAACUUACUCUCCCAAGACACACACAGUUAAAAAGAGGCAGAAUUUGGACCCUGGGGCCCUACUCUUUCCGAGAGUGAGACGGGGGAGGAUAUGGCCGAGUGGCCCAGGAGGGACCACAGCUGAGACAGUGACAGCCUUGAAGCCCGGGGAAGAUACUGAUCUGGGAGCAGCAUCCCUUUCAUCACCCAGGGGACGCCCCUACAGAGGACCCACUGUGUGCCAGUGCUGUGCUCGGUGCCACAGGGAUGCACAAGAGAGUGUGCUGCUGUCAACAGGGAUGUCACAGGUCACCUGGUGGGGGAGGGGCACAGAGGAGCGUGGGACAGGCCUGAGGCUCCCCGCCUCUCUGUCCCUGCAGCCACUGCCACACCCACUGCUUCUCCUGCUGAUAGAUGAGCAAGGCAAGGCCCAGAGGGGUCCCUCAGUGAGGAACACCCCGAGAUGGAAAGGUCCCCUGGCAAAGGAGUUCAUUGAUUCACGGUGCUGAUAUGGGACUUCCAGUCCUGGCUCCACUGCUGUGUGGCCCUAAGCUGGUCUGUAACCUCUCUGUUUCUUGUGUGGGAAAUGGGGAGUAAGAAUAGCUGUGCUGCAGAAGGUUCUGCGGGAUUAAACACUUACAAAGAGCUUCAUCCCGGGCCUGGCUCUCAGGCUCAAUGAAUAUUAGCUAAUAUCAUGAUUAUUAUUGUCACUGUAAUUAUUGCUGCCAGCAGCACCAUGCAGCCUCGGCUUGCCCAGGUGGCUCCCUAGCCCUCAGAGCCUCUCUGGGGCCUCCCUGGGGACUGUUUGCAGAGCAGAGGGGGAGGGGCUCUAUUAUUCCAACCCCCAGUCACCCCCCCCACCCCACCAGGACUAGGGGCCUCCCGGUAAUAGGUAAUAAUGGCAGUGACUCUGCCCCAGGGGCUAAUUGAGCCACAAGAAGGUGAAUUUAAUAGGGGACUGGACUGAGCAGCGGGAGGCAGAGGAUUGAGUUAACCUUCUGGACUACUGGUUAGGGAGGCUCGGCUUCCAGGCAAUCCUGCCUCCUGGCUUUCUGCUCUGCAUGGCCCAGGGUGUCACUGCAGACUUGGGGGUGGGGUGGGGGGCACAGACCUGGACCCAGGGGCACUGAAGCUGGACUGGGUGAGGGUAACCGCGAUGGGUACCUCCCAGCCCUGCGCGUGGAUGCCACACUUUCACACUGGCUCACUGAGCCUGCAAGACAGCAGCCGCUGCCACCUCACAGACAGAGGAGAGAGCGGCUGACCCCCGUGUCACACACUGCUGCUCGCUGCUCGGUGGUGGAGGUGUCACUGAACUGGUUCUGCUUCCCAAGCAGACAUCCCGCAGGCUUCAGAGGAUGAGGAAGCCACACCGGGGAGCGGGCAUACAGUGCACUGGAGAAGGCUCAGCAGCCAGAAGCACCCAUUUCUAUCACCCUGCCUGUCCCUGAACCUUGUCGAGUGGGAGAAUGAACCAGACUGGACUGGGAGUCUGGGCAGCCUCUGCAGUCACCAGUGACCCCUGAGCCUUGGGCACUCCCCACCCCCACUGCACAGAGCUCUCUGUCCUUCCAUUAAAAAAAAAAAAAUGAAAGUGCCCUGCAGGAAGGGACCUGCCAAUCCAGAGUGUCUCCCCGCACCCGCCAAGCUGGAGAAGGCAGAUGGGGGCAAGUUCUCACUAAGGAAUGAAUCAACAGACAGCUUACUUUACCCUUCAGACCUCAGUUUGCUCAUCUGUCAAGUGUCCACGUGAUGGCAGCCUGCCUGCCAGCCCCACAGGACAGCUCUGGGGAUCCGAGGAGGGAAAGAGAAGUUCUUUACAAAGUUGGACUCUGAGCUGGGGGACGGGAGGCCGGGGGCCGUGGUGGACUGAGCCCCCACUGUGGGCCAGGCACCCAGCACCCCAAAGGCCCUUUGUCUCCUGGGACACCCCUCACCUUUCCAACCACCCCUGCCCCAGGUUCAGAUGACAAACUGAGACCCAGAGAGGCGACAAGAAUGCCAAAGUCACAAAACACAGAGUACAACAUAGGACUGGAACUCUCGAGGCCCUGUCUCCCUGGCUGUGCUGUCACACACAUUUACACACACACUCUCACUGGCUAACACGUAUCUUUAUGACCUAGCUGGAACUGGUGAAUAGGGACUGCCAGGGGGAGGAGGAAAGGCACCCCAUAUGAAAUGUGGAGGGCAGAGAAGAUGCCCUAUUAGGGCAGGAUGCCUGCAGGAAAGGGGCUCCACAUCCACUUGGGGCAUCUGGAGAGGGACCCCUCACUCAGAGGCUCCAUCCUCCUCCCCCUCUCACCGCUCACACAUAGGGGACAUAACCAGACUCGGCCGCACCCCCCCCACACACACACUGACAUCACACCCUCCGGCUGCUGGGGGUGACCCCUUAUCACUGCCGUCCUAGUGACGUCACUGGCAGCCUGGAGCUGAUGUCACACCCAGAGGUUCUCACUGACGUCACACCCACAGGCCGAUGCUGAUGUUACGCACACUUCUCCCUGAGACCCCCUCCCCUGCAAUUACUCCUCUUUCAUGCUGCCCAGCAGCAGAUGGCCCAGAAGUCCCCACCCACGUACACAGCUCCAGGGGCACAGCUCACUCCGGACAGGCGUUUACAGGCAAGGCCUGCGCGUGCAUGCACAUGUGUGUGCGUUCCCCAUAGGACACACGUUUACACACAUGAGCAGGCCCAUGUGCCCUGCUGAUGGCCUAGACACAACACGUCCCACAGGUGCCCGACAGACCACGGGAACAGGUGUGUGAGCCAUGGACACACAUGUACACAGGCAAAUCCUCCCAGCCCCAGCCCCACCCCCACGAUGCAGCUCCCUGUAUGAAAAUGUCCCUCAAUGACUAAAUCACUAAAUCAGGCAGUCGGGGCUGGCGCCUUCUACCACAUUCCUCCAGGUGUUGCCAGCACCCCCUCCUCCCCCCACCCCCCCCCACCCCAGCCUCUCUCCUCCUCCGACAGCCUGGCCUGAUGACGGCAACAGCCGCAGACCGACGCGCGCACACACAGUCCAGCCCAACACCUGUGUCUCGGCAAGGGGACCCAGGCAGUGUCCCCCAGAGGCAGCCACUGGGGUAGGAAGAGUUCAGAGGGAAGGGGCGCAGUGCUACAGAAAGUGCCCUCAAGUACUAAGCCUGAUGUUCCUCCGAGGCUAAGCCGAGGGCCAGCGCCACCAUCCCCU
rnacentral:lncRNA from 1 species